rnacentral:tRNA from 1 species
GUGUGUAGCUCAGCUGGAUAGAGCGUUUGGCUACGAACCAAAAGGUCGGGGGUUCGAAUCCCUCCACG